CUCACUGAUUACUUGAUGACAGC
rnacentral:piRNA from 1 species